rnacentral:rRNA from 1 species
ACGGGGUGCCCCUUGCGCGAAACCUCCACAAUGCGCGAAAGCGUGAUGGGGUUAUCCCGAGUGCCGUCCGAUGAGGAUGGCUUUUCAUCGGUGUAAGGAUCCGAUGGAAUAAAGGGGGGGCAAGACUGGUGUCAGCCGCCGCGGUAAUACCAGCCCCCUGAGUGGUAGGGACGAUUAUUUGGCCUAAAGCGUUCGUAGCCGGCUUAUCAAGUCUUUUGUUAAAUCCAGCGAUUCAAUCGUUGGGCCGCAAAAGAUACUGUUAUGCUAGAGGACGGGAGAGGUCGACGGUAGUCCAGGGGUAGGGGUGAAAUCCUAUAAUCCUUGGAGGACCACCAGUGGCGAAGGCGGUCGACUAGAACGUGCCUGACGGUGAGGGACGAAAGCUGGGGGAGCGAACCGGAUUAGAUACCCGGGUAGUCCCAGCCGUAAACGAUGCGGGCUAGGUGUUGGGGCAGCCACGAGCUGCUCCAGUGCCGCAGAGAAGUUGUUAAGCCCGCCGCCUGGGGGAGUACGGCCCGCAAGGCUGAAACUUAAAGGGAAUUGGCGGGGGGAGCACCACAAGGGGGUGAAGG